GAAGGGCUGAGAUUCAGCCAUACUGCUAAAUAGUUCGGUGAUAACCUCCUUCAAAUGUUAUACUACUGAUGUCUGUUAGGGCUGAGGAUCCUGGGGAAAAGUCUUGAAUUCUGUCCUUUAUUGGGUUUGAUUAUGGAUAGGACUUAUGGGCUGAAGUGGCCCAGGCAGAGGCCCACCUGCAGAGAUCUGGAAGCCCCAAGAGAAAAUUCACUGUAAGAGAAGGAGCAGUCUGACAGGGCAAGCCCCUCUUCGCAAGCGGAUAGAAUGUUGGAGGCAAGCUGAAGGUCCCAGUAUAUCCUGAGUCUGUGGGUGUGAACUGAGCUGUGUUGAUGGAUGCUAUAAUGCUGGAGUUCAGAAAGUUGUGCUGGUCAUCUGUAUGCAAAAGGAACACUCUAGCCUCAUAGCCCUUCGGAGUCCUGGAAUGGCAGAUCCUCUGGCCAACCAAUUUAGGGCACAAUGACAGGAGUGGUCCUCCCUCCUGGGGUACAUCUGUGGAAUCAUCAGGCCCAAAGCUGCAAAAGCUUGACCUGAGCAGCCAUAGCAACCCACUUAGGAUCAUGUGCACCCUUAGGAUUCCUAGAAUAUUUGAGAAGGAAGGAUUUUCCUUGAGGUAGGACUCCCUACAUUUGCAUAGAUGAGCACACAAAGCCAUUGAGAUUCAGAAAUUAACAUGAAACAACUUCAUUUGUACUCAUGGCUGAUUAAGGCUAGGAAAGUUUUCCUUUCUACUACAUUUUAAAAUGGGUAAGUGAACAGGAUUUUUGAGACACUCAAGAAAGUAAUCAAUUAGUAUAGCUUGUAUCUUCAUUAAAUAGUCUGGGCCGCACAUGGCCCAUGGUCUGUACUCCACAGCCCCACAGCCACUCUGCUCUCAUGUCAUGUCACUCUUCCAUUCACUCACUGCUCUCCAGCACCCACUGGCCAGCUUCUCUUUUCAUGUGCACCCAGCUAUUCUGAGUCUGGAUCACAUUUUCCUGCCCUGUCUCCUCAAAUAUCCACCGACCUUGCUCUCUCUCUGUUUGCUCUCUGUUCAAAUGUCACCUUGUUGGUGACACCUUGCCUAACUUUCUUAUAUGAGAAAGCAACACCUGCCCCUCACUUUAUUUUUCCCUGAAGCACUUUGCACUAACUUACUAUAUAUUUACUUGUUUGUUAUUGAGUGUACCUUUCUCAUUAGAGUGGGAGCUCCAUGAGGGCAGGAACUCCAUUAGUUUUAUCUAUUGAUGUAUCCCCAGCAACCAGAACAAUGUCUGUGACAUAGUAUAUACUCUGUAAACUUGAUUCAUGAAUGGCCCCUACUGCCUGCCUGCCUUCAUUCAUUAAUCAAUUCAUUCAACAAACACUGAGCCCUGUAGGUGCUGGAUAUACUGGAUAGCAGAGGACCAAAGAUGAACAAGCUAGCUUCUGUCCUCAAUUAGGUCACAAUAUGAGGAGGGACAAAGAAAGGCAAACUUAACUAGAAAUGCAUUGUACUGAGUUUACAGGGGGUGCAGCAGGAAAGGAUCAAGAAAAAGGGGGCAGUGUUGAGUUGAUUCCUGUGGGCGAGGAUGAUUACAAUGGUGAACAUUUAUUGAGUGUUUCCUGUGUGCCAUCUCUCCAUUAAACAAUGAAUACAGUAUCAUUUAAGGCUGUUAACAGUUUUCUGACAUAACUGCUAAUAUUACCUUUAUCUUAGGGAUGCAGAAAUAGGCUCAGAAAGCACCAAGGUCAUAGAGCUAAUACUUGGAACUGAGAUUCAAACUUGGCUUUUUCUGGUUCCAGAUCUCAAGCUGUAACUAUGUGCUGGGCAGACAAGCAGGGAAGACAUUGUGAGCAGAAGAAACACUAUAUCCCAAGGAUUGAAACCUUACCAUGUGUAGUCAGGUAACAGCAAAGAUUCAAGGAAGUGUGAAAAGAGAUGAGGUAGGAGUGUAUGACACUUAGAAGGUGGCCUUAGAGGACACAGGUUUGCAUACCUGUUACUGAUUCCUUUCUCUUUCCUCCUUCCAGAGUAGCUUGCUUUUGCUACUGUAUUAGGCUUCUGAAUAUGCUUCGAUCUGAAAGAAAAAUUUCAUGGCUGAAGCAGGGGGUAGUGGGGGCAGGGAUUGACUAUGUGGUUGUAGUGUCCCUGAUCGGAGAUGGAGUUCUUGAGUAGGAUAGUAACUUUGCGAAUGAAGGGGAGACAACAGGAAGAUCUUCGGAGAGAGAACUGCUGGAGCUUGCUCUGCAUUGGCUGUCAGAAUCAGAGAAAGAAGGUGCUACGCCUGGGUGAAUGGGAGGAUGGGGUACCAUUAAUGAGGACAGAGCAUCUAGGGGAAAGCUGCAUGGAAGUGGUGAAGAUGAAGGAUGAGGGUGAUCUGCUGUACCCGUGGCUCCCCGAGGAAGGGAGAUGCCCCGUGCUGGUCUGGGUGCAUAAGGCCAGAGCUCCAAGUGGAGUCACAGAACUGACAGACAUCAGCUACUAAGUAGUUCUUCAAGUUGCUGCCAAGAAAGAUACGCACUAGACUUGGAGUGGAAUCUUUAGGAAUGCCAGAUGUGAAUGCUAGGAAUCUUCUCAGUAGGGACAUCUUUGGAUGGGUAUUAUGUUGUUUUCAGAUCAUUUGUUCUGACAUAUCAUACACAUAUGUCUAAACCAACCAGGGACGUUUUUGACAUUUUCUUGGUUUAAAAAAAGUAUUCAAGGGCCUGAGAGGUCUUGCACCAUUUUCUUCUGUAAAUGUCUGAGUAAAAUGUCAGGUUGGAAGCCCCUUCAGCCUACUUGGCUGCUUUUUUCCCCAGUGGCUUCCACAACCCCAUCUGGAAUCACAGCCACAGUGAUCACCCUUAUCCAUGAAAUGUGAUCAGAAACUUGAUAUAGACCCAUUUCAGCCCAGCCUUUUGCCCAGCUCACAGUACUCACUAAGUGUCCAGGUGAAACCCAGUCAGGGCUCCCGGCCAUUACCCCUGCAGGAGCCCUUCACUUCAGAGUGGUAGCUAGCACAGAGCACACUGGUGGUGAGGAUCUUGGUUGCAGACCUUUGCCAAGUGCCCGUGUGCACAAAGGGCAAAUCUACAUACAGGAGGACCCAGGGAAUAGGGCCAGGGUAAGAUGGAGAGCCCCAGCUACUCACUAUCUUCGUUCUCCCCUCCUUGGUCAGCGGUGUCCCAGGUUCUGGUUGGGAAGGCAGAGGGGAAGAAUGAAUUUGCCUCACACCACAUCCCAGCUCAGGUAGCACAGGGCCACGGUGGUACUGAUGUGGGGAAGGGAGUGGGACUCUUCAUGGUGGUCUUCUUUUCAUCUGCUCACUCAGGGACAUAUUGAGAUCACUUACGGUGGCAGGAUGGGAAUGAGAAUGAAAGUGGCAAGAAAGGGCAUUGAUGCCCACUGCACAGAGAGGUCAUGAAGAUGAAAGUGCUCAGGAUGUCCAGCACACACUAGAAACAGUAUUACAUGCUCAGGCUCUGGAGUUUGCCCAGACCUAGCCUUGAAUCCUGGCAGAGCCAAUUACUGAUGGAGUGAGAGUCUUCUCAUGCUCUGGAUAAUGGAAAAAAAGCUCUCUGUAAAAUUGAAGCUGCAGCUGGAUUAAGAUGGAAAUGCUAUCUACAGGCUCAAGUCUAACCUGGCCCUGUGCAGUGUCAUAACUCCAGAAGG